rnacentral:rRNA from 1 species
AUUGAACGCUGGCGGUAGGCCUAACACAUGCAAGUCGAACGGCAGCACAGUAAGAGCUUGCUCUUACGGGUGGCGAGUGGCGGACGGGUGAGGAGUACAUCGGAAUCUACUUUUGCGUGGGGGAUAACGUAGGGAAACUUACGCUAAUACCGCAUACGACCUACGGGUGAAAGCAUGGGAUCUUCGGACCUUGCGCGAUUGAAUGAGCCGAUGUCGGAUUAGCUAGUUGGCGGGGUAAAGGCCCACCAAGGCGACGAUCCGUAGCUGGUCUGAGAGGAUGAUCAGCCACACUGGAACUGAGACACGGCCCAGACUCCUACGGGAGGCAGCAGUGGGGAAUAUUGGACAAUGGGCGAAAGCCUGAUCCAGCCAUACCGCGUGGGUGAAGAAGGCCUUCGGGUUGUAAAGCCCUUUUGUUGGGAAAGAAAAGCAGCAGGUUAAUACCCCGCUGUUAUGACGGUACCCGAAGAAUAAGCACCGGCUAACUUCGUG